GGGGUAGUAGCUCAGUGGUAGAGUGCUCACCUAGCAUGUGUGAGGCUCUGAGUUUGAUUCUCAAUACCACA
rnacentral:tRNA from 1 species